rnacentral:rRNA from 1 species
UACGAAGGGGGCUAGCGUUGUUCGGAAUCACUGGGCGUAAAGCGCACGCAGGCGGGUCGUUAAGUCAGGGGUGAAAUCCCGAGGCUCAACCUCGGAACUGCCUUUGAUACUGGCGAUCUUUGAGUCCGGGAGAGGUGAGUGGAACUCCGAGUGUAGAGGUGAAAUUCGUAGAUAUUCGGAAGAACACCAGUGGCGAAGGCGACUCACUGGACACGUAUUGACGCUGAGGUGCGAAAGCGUGGGGAGCAAACAGGG